UGUUACGCAAUGAGAACAUUGCAGAACUAUUCUUUCACGUUUUGCUAAAGACUACCGUGUGCUCAUUGCAAAUAGUGGCAUAUAUAUAUAUAUUUAUGGAUCCACUCAGAUUGCAUUCU